rnacentral:rRNA from 1 species
AAGGAUCAUUAGAAAAACAGCAUCUUCAGUGAUCACACCCUUCUGUGAACCCUGACCCCCUGUUGCUUCCCGCCUCCCCCGCGGAGGGCCGCCCCCCCAGGGGCGGCCCCGCGGCAGCGGAAGACGCUUACGCGAAACCCCCGUUUUCUCAUGCCCUCGGUCUGAACUGAAGUGACACAACAGUCAAAACUUUCAACAACGGAUCUCUUGGUUCCCGCAUCGAUGAAGAACGCAGCGAAAUGCGAUAAGUAGUGUGAAUUGCAGAAUUCCGUGAAUCAUCGAAUCUUUGAACGCACAUUGCGCCCUCUGGUAGCCCCGGGGGCAUGCCUGUUUGAGCGUCAGGAGGGGAGAACGAGCUCGGGUCGCCCGGCCUGUCCCGGCGACACCGGUCAUAGGGGAUCGUGGCGUCAGCCUCGCCACGCCUCCGAAUUGCAUCUCAUGGCGGAACCAUCCAGCCCGUGCCCGGCGUAGUAAUCCUACCUUCUCGACGGGUCCACGCCUGGCAGUUCCUGCCGAUCAAACCCAGCCACGCCUUCACAAAACCCGACGACUUCAAAUCAGGUAGGGAUACCCGCUGAACUUAA